AUUGAACGCUGGCGGCAUGCCUUACACAUGCAAGUCGAACGGUAACAGGUCUUCGGAUGCUGACGAGUGGCGAACGGGUGAGUAAUACAUCGGAACGUGCCCGAUCGUGGGGGAUAACGAAGCGAAAGCUUUGCUAAUACCGCAUAAGAUCUAAGGAUGAAAGCAGGGGACCGCAAGGCCUUGCGCGAACGGAGCGGCCGAUGGCAGAUUAGGUAGUUGGUGGGAUAAAAGCUUACCAAGCCGACGAUCUGUAGCUGGUCUGAGAGGACGACCAGCCACACUGGGACUUAGACACGGCCCAGACCCCUACGGGAGGCAGCAGUGGGGAAUUUUGGUCAAUGGGCGCAAGCCUGAUCCAGCCGUGCCGCGUGCAGGAUGAAGGCCUUCGGGUUGUAAACUGCUUUUGUACGGAACGAAAAGACUCUGGUUAAUACCUGGGGUUCAUGACGGUACCGUAAGAAUAAGCACCGGCUAACUACGUGCCAGCCGCCGCCGUAA
rnacentral:rRNA from 1 species